rnacentral:rRNA from 1 species
GACGAACGCUGGCGGCGUGCUUAACACAUGCAAGUCGAACGGAAAGGCCCUGCUUUUGUGGGGUGCUCGGGUGGCGAACGGGUGAGUAACACGUGAGUAACCUGCCCUUGACUUUGGGAUAACUUCAGGAAACUGGGGCUAAUACCGGAUAGGAGCUCCCGCUGCAUGGUGGGGGUUGGAAAGUUUCGGCGGUUGGGGAUGGACUCGCGGCUUAUCAGCUUGUUGGUGGGGUAGUGGCUUACCAAGGCUUUGACGGGUAGCCGGCCUGAGAGGGUGACCGGCCACAUUGGGACUGAGAUACGGCCCAGACUCCUACGGGAGGCAGCAGUGGGGAAUAUUGCACAAUGGGCGGAAGCCUGAUGCAGCAACGCCGCGUGCGGGAUGACGGCCUUCGGGUUGUAAACCGCUUUCGCCUGUGACGAAGCGUGAGUGACGGUAAUGGGUAAAGAAGCACCGGCUAACUACGUG